rnacentral:misc_RNA from 1 species
GAGGUGCACCCCAAGUGUGUUAGACCUGUGGACUUUGGCUCCAUGCUUGAGAGAUGAACAAACUAGCUAGCUCUAUUAAGCUAAUUAACGUUUUGCUAAUUCAACUGUGGUGUGUAGAUGUGUGUUCAUUUUGCUUUGGACUGUGGAUUUGGCUUUUAAGUUCAGUAUAAGCUAGCAAAUCGAGUUUCAGGUUAGAUUUUAUUAGAGCUAAUUAUUAA